AUUGAACGCUGGCGGCAGGCCUAACACAUGCAAGUCGAAUGGUAACAGGAAACAGCUUGCUGUUUCGCUGACGAGUGGCGGACGGGUGAGUAAUGUCUGGGAAACUGCCUGAUGGAGGGGGAUAACUACUGGAAACGGUAGCUAAUACCGCAUAACGUCGCAAGACCAAAGAGGGGGACCUUCGAGCCUCUUGCCAUCAGAUGUGCCCAGAUGGGAUUAGCUAGUAGGUGGGGUAACGGCUCACCUAGGCGACGAUCCCUAGCUGGUCUGAGAGGAUGACCAGCCACACUGGAACUGAGACACGGUCCAGACUCCUACGGGAGGCAGCAGUGGGGAAUAUUGCACAAUGGGCGCAAGCCUGAUGCAGCCAUGCCGCGUGUAUGAAGAGGGCCUUCGGGUUGUAAAGUACUUUCAGCGGGGAGGAAGGGAGUAAAGUUAAUACCUUUGCUCAUUGACGUUACCCGCAGAAGAAGCACCGGCUAACUCCGUG
rnacentral:rRNA from 1 species